ensembl:lncRNA
UCAGCACCAGUGUCUACUCCUGUAAAUAAUUGAAAGGAAUAUAAUAGGAAGGGAAAUUGGCAACUCCAACAGAGAGCACUGGUCUACCUGGGGCUCCGUGAAUGAGUGGCAUAGAUUGAGUCAGGACCCACUGUCCCAUAGGAUACAUCAUAGAAGGUAGACGUGUGGCUAAAAGAACUCAUGGAAGAAUCUUUCCUGGGCACUCAGUUCCACACUGUAAAUAACAGGCGAUAGAGCAAGACAGCGGUACGGAGACUGCCAACACCUACGGCAGCUCAGCCUUGGCCCCGUGUCUGCGAUAGCACAAAGGAGGAAUUAUUAAUGACAUUUGAUCACCAGGGUAAAGCAAGCGUGUGGGCGAUUCUCUCCAAAGACAAGAAUACAAAAGACUGUGCCUGAGGCUCAGGCUUUUAUUAGUGGCAGAUGAACACUGGAACAGAGUAAAGGAGAUGCUGUCUGAUAUUUUACACAACGUCUUUCAGCCAUUACUUAAUAAAUAGCGAUGCAUUAAUUUUCAAAGCAGUGGCAGGGGAGAAAAUAUUACUUUCUUUUCCUAUCCUAAGAUGAACACAC